rnacentral:rRNA from 1 species
GAUGAACGCUGGCGGCGUGCCUAAUACAUGCAAGUCGAGCGAACAGAUGAGGAGCUUGCUGCGCUGACGUUAGCGGCGGACGGGUGAGUAACACGUGGAUAACCUACCUAUAAGACGGGGAUAACUUCGGGAAACCGGAGCUAAUACCGUAUAAUCUAUUGAACCGCGUGGGUCAAUAGUGAGAGACGGCUUUGCUGUCACUUAUAGAGGGAUCCGGGCCGCAUUAGCUAGUUGGUCAGGUAACGGCCUACCAAGGGAAGGAUGCGUAGCCGACCUGAGGGGGGGAUCGGCCACCCUGGAAGUGAAACACGGUCCAGACUCCUGCGGGAGGCAGCAGUAGGGAAUCUUCCGCAAUGGGCGAAAGUCUGACGGAGCAACGCGGCGUGAGUGAUGAAGGUCUUCGGAUCGUAAUACUCUGUUAUUAGGGAAGAACAAAUGUGUAAGUAACUAUGCACGUCUUGACGGUACUUAAUCAGAAAGCCACGGCUAACUACGUG